CACUGCACUCUAGCCUGGGCAAUAAAGUGAGACCCUGUCUCAAAAAAAGAAAGAAAAAGUUUCUCUCAAUUUCUCUUCCUGAUUGUCUUGCCCCUUUAAAAUAUCUCUCAAAAGAAAAUGGGACGCAAUGGUCAUCUGGAAGCAGUGGCUCGAGUCUGGAAGCCUUGUCCCUAUUUAAGGGUUCACUGUAGCUGGCGUGUUAGGAGAGAUGGGGUAUUGUUUCCGUCACUUCUCCCCUAACCUCAGUCUCUUACCUAUGGCAGGUGAUCCAUUUAGACCCCCAUCCAGGUUUCCUUUGCCUCACUGGGGAGAAGAGGAAAUCAGGACUCGAAGGACGAAGCCUAUGACUGUGGAGCUCACAAGGAAUGGACAACGCCCCAAACAGUUCCUUCCUGACUCUGCUUUUGAAUUUUUAUGACAUAAAGUCUCAAAGAGAUCUUGGUUCCACCUAUAAAGGUCAAGGUAACAAGGUGUUCAUGCUGGGAACUGGAAUUUCAAUUCAAAGCACAUUUGUGAGAAGGCCCAGUCUUGCAAUGAGGAGGCACUCACUGAGUCUGCUGAACAACAGACAGUAAGUUUGGCCACUGCUUGCCUUCAUGAUACCAACCAGCACGGAAGAGUGCUUUGGCCACCUCUGGGAAUAUUUGGCUCACUGAGGGCUUCUGGUGAGGGAUCCCAACUCGUCACCCCUUCCUCCUAACUGGUUUUUAAGGAAUAUUGGUCCUUUUCAAAGACAGCAGAGGGGAAGGGGAGGUGGGAGGAUCAUAUUUGGCAUCUGCCGAAUAGGACAAGAUUUACAAAAUUUCUCUUUUGGAAUUCUGAAACGUCUCUGUACUGCAGAAAUAAUUUUUCCUAUUGUGGCUCAUCUAAACCAGCAUAGCUUUUCAGGAUGGACGUGCCCACACCCAGAGGAUGAGAUUAAAUUCCUUGCCAGUCUCUGAGAUACAUGUUUAUGCAGGCGUUUUCCUGCCCAUCUUCUAGAAGGGAAAAGAUAAUGAGGUCCUCUUUUUGCCGUGGAGAUGGUCUCCAGAGGGUCAGUGCCAAGCUGUGGUCCAAGGGUUCUGAGGGACUGUGAGGAUGUUUCUUACAUGGAUCUAGGGGGCGCAGAACGAAGGAAGUAGGUUCUCUUUGGGCCUUAACAGGAUUUCUCUAGAAAGGCCAGUGUGAGCAGCUCUAACUGAAGUGAGGGGAACAUUAGCUAGCGUGCUGGGAGAGCCUUUGUGAAGAUGUAGGUUUGCAUAGGAGGCUGGUUUUCCACGUGUCCUCCUUUAUUCUAGUUCUCUUCUCUCUAACCCCUGCACACCCCUCCAUCUGCCCAUACUGGAGAUGGGUAUGUGGGGAGCAAACUUGAUUUUAUCUGAAUAAGAUCUCUUUCAAAACAGAUCUCUGGUUAAUAAUAAUGUCCACACAGAUGCCAGCAAUUCUCAUUUGGUUUGAAUAACUAAAAAAAUAAAAACAAAAACAGAUGAAAAAUAGGUCUGGUUGCUAAAUUGCAAAAAAAAGCAACAACAAAAACAAGAGUUUUAGCUUUGAAACUACUCAAGAUUGAAGUUUUUGGGGAAAUGUUAGUAUUUCCUACAAGUGGGGAUUAGAGUACACACACAGUGGUGUCUGGCCCAGGUCAUAAUUAGGAAGAUUGCGAAUGACUGUAGGUUACUGCAGUGGCUUGGGCUUUGCUCGGGCCAUGCACGGAGUCGCCUCCUGCUCUUCCUGGUGGAUGACUGCUCUCCAGGUGCACACAGUGUCAGCUCCGGGUGGUGCGGCUCACUGAGCUUUCUGCCUCCCUGGGGAACACCUCCUGCCUGACCCUUUCGCCUGCUCACGCCUCCCUGUCUUCUAGCCUUCACAACUUCUUCACGGAGGCCUUUCGUCAGCCCAGGCCCCCCUCUCCUUGUGGCAUUUCUCACCACUGUCAUUUUACCAUUAGCGCCUGGGUCAUACCUGUUCUCCCCACCACACUAGAGACUUCCUGAAGGCACAGGAUUGACAUUCAGGUGAGUCCUGCUAUGCCAGGCAUUAACCUUUUUGCUGUUUGAUUAUGAGGAGGAAGUGGGGGGGACCCCUGGGGCCAGCUGCUCAUUAUCUAGGGGCACAGAAGGGUCGAAGCGCUGGAGCAACCAGCGCAGUGCUGUUUCCGUUUCCAGCCGCUAACGCGUCAUCCGCUACGUAGCAGGUGCUCGGUAACGGUUUGUUGAUGGGACGUUCUCC